rnacentral:lncRNA from 1 species
UGAAUUUCGAUCCCCCAUUCCAAACUUAUUAUGGUUGUACCCACGAAAGUGCAUUCUUGGUUUGAAAGGUAUUGGUGAAAUCAAGGUAUCCCAAGAUAAAACACUCUAGAACUAGUUGAAGUGUGGAAAUAUACUGGACUAGGCUUAAUGGCUGGAGCUGAAAAGACUGAAAAUAUAUUUACGGCUAUGGCCAAGUGGUCGGAAGCGAAACUUGCAUUUUAGCAAACGGAAUGAUCUGUAAAAUUGGAUUUUCCAGGUGAUUUUUGCAGGUCGGGGGCAAGCGGUUGGCUUGCUCUGGCAACCUGACUUGGUUGGCACCGUGGAUAGUGUAAAGAUUAAAUGAUUCAGUGGGUGUCCUGCUUAUGAGGAUGCAUUUGUUAUGUAGGAGGGUUUGGUUUUUAAUCUUAAUAUUAGCACACUUACACGUACAUAUUUGAGUAAAAAAUAAAAUUCAACAAUAAUUAGGAGUUUAUCAUCUAUUCAUUCGUAUCUUGGUUUUAAUCAGAUGUUGACUUUAUUUUUCUUUAGUUUACCGAUUUGUCUCACAAUUACAUUGCGUCUGAUUAUGAACUGAUGAUAGACAUUUGCAAGAGUGAGAUAAAUUUUCUGAAGUCCAGUUGGCAAAACAUGCUUGGUCGACCGCUCGUUACAAUUAUAUGUAGAAGAUUCCAUUUAGAGGAUGGCAGAAUACCCUUAGCUAUGAUCACAACUAUGAAGAAACUGAAAUCUGGAUAUAUAAAUGGAACUCGUGUUACUUUAGGAAACCUAUCCGAAUUUCUAAACACCAGUUCAAUUACAAACUUAAGUUUUCUUGGAUGUCAUGAAGAUGGUGUUCCA